UACGAAGGGGGCAAGCGUUGUUCGGAUUUACUGGGCGUAAAGGGCGCGUAGGCGGAUGCGUAAGUCAGAGGUGAAAGCCCUGGGCUCAACCCGGGAAUUGCCUUUGAGACUGCGUGUCUUGAGUGUGGGAGAGGGUGGCGGAAUACCCAGUGUAGAGGUGAAAUUCGUAGAUAUUGGGUAGAACACCAGUGGCGAAGGCGACCACCUGGCCCAUAACUGACGCUGAGGCGCGAAAGCGUGGGGAGCAAACAGG
rnacentral:rRNA from 1 species